AAAUUUAUUUAUAGUCAUUGAAUUAAAAAAGUAAAAAAUGGAGAUGAAGUUAUUCUGCGCAAUCACCCUAUACGUCCUAUUGGCGUUGUUACCACGAACUCAUGCAAUUUUCUGCACGGACGGCAACUCGUGUUUCUGCAACUACAGCUAUGCACCAGUCUGUGCAACCAAUGGCUGCAGCUAUCUUAAUACUUGCAGAUUAAUUUGUGCUGAAGCAAGUUUUUCUAGAAUAGGACCAUGUCCAGAAACGUAAAUUAAGGAAAACAAAAAGAUUAUAAUUGUAAUGUCUAAGUGUUAUUUGAAUUGUUUUUAACUCAUUUUCGAAUUUAAUUUUAAUUACUUAAAAUUAAUUUUAAUACAUA
rnacentral:lncRNA from 1 species